rnacentral:rRNA from 1 species
UAAUAAAACUACACUUGUUAAUUUUAUCUUUACAAAAUCAAUAGAAACAUCAUGUUUAUCAAGUAAAAGUGAAAGAAAUUUGUUUUUUAAACCUCUAAAAGUACUGAAAAGGAAUGUAGUUAAAUUAGAUUAAAGAAAUGAUUAAGUCAUGUACCUUUUGUAUCAUGGCCCAGCUAGAUUUAAACUUUAAAAAAAGUUUCUCGAAAUCUAAUGAUCUAUUUUAAUUCUCAUUUUAGCGUAACCGGGUAGUUGUUGCAAAAACUUCCGCAGAAAUUAAAAUAGAAAUGAAAUUUUAUUCGUAUUAGGUGAUAGCUAGUUCCUUUUAAAGGUAUAUAAGUACCAGAAAUUAGUUGGUAAUUAAAAAUCAUAGAUUUUAAUUGCAUAUAAUUUUUUUAUAUUUGUGAGGAUAAGCUCGCAAAUAAUAUAAUUUAGAAGUAUAAAAUUUUGGUUAAAUUUAAGCUUAGAAAUAGCUAUAACUGUAAAUCUUGUUAUAAUUUUAUAUAGAAAAGAAAAAAUAAACUACUUUACUAUUUUUGAAUAAGGAAAAUCUUUAAACCUAAAAAUAGACUAUAUUAAUGCUGGGAUGAGUAUUUUUAUUCCAUUCUGUUUUGGACACUUAAUUCAAAACCUUAAAAUUUUAUUAAACAACUAAAUUAUAAAAAGGAAUCUCGGCAAACAUAUUUGUUCUGCCUGUUUAUCAAAAACAUGGCUCCCUGUAAUUUUGUAAAUAGGGAGUCGGUCCUGCCCAGUGAAAUUAUUUAACGGCCGCGGUACCCUGACCGUGCGAAGGUAGCAUAAUCAUUUGCCUUAUAAUUGAAGGCUUGUAUGAAUGGUUUGACUAGAACAAAGCUGUCUCUUUAUAAUUCUAUAAAACUUUAUCUCUUGGUGAAGAAGCCUAGAUGAAAUUAAUAGACAAGAAGACCCUAUCGAGCUUUUAAAAAAAUUAAUAGACUAAUUAUUCAUGUUUAUAAAAAAUUAAUAUUAAAAAUUUUGGUUGGGGCGACUGAGGAACAAAUAAAGCUUCCUCAACUUUAAAAACUUACGCAUAUUGAUCCAAGCUUUUUGAUUAAAGAAAUUAGUUACCGUAGGGAUAACAGCAUUAUCCUUUUUGAGAGUUCUUAUCGAAAAGAGGGUUUGUGACCUCGAUGUUGGACCAGAAUAUCCUAAAGAUGCAGAAGUCNUUGAGGGUUGGUCUGUUCGACCAUUAAAAUUCUACGUGAUCNGAGUUCAGACCGGCGNGAGCCAGGUCAGUUUCUAUCUUUA